GACGUAGGGCGCGAGCGUGUCCGGAUUUAUUGGGCGUAAAGAGCUCGUAGGCGGCUUGUCGCGUCGAAUGUGAAAACCCACGGCUCAACUGUGGGCUUGCAUUCGAUACGGGCAGGCGUAGAGUUCGGUAGGGGAGACUGGAAUUCCUGGUGUAGCGGUGAAAUGCGCAGAUAUCAGGAGGAACACCGGUGGCGAAGGCGGGUCUCCUGGGCAGUAAACUGACG
rnacentral:rRNA from 1 species